ACUGAAAUUUGUAUAAAAUCACAGAAAAAAAAUGUUAUGUGUACGUUUUGUAUGAUAUGUAUGUACCUCGUAGGUGCUUCACUGUUACUCCGAGGUAACGCAGUUGUCCAAAUGUAUAUUUUCUGGUUUAGGUGGAUUACUUUGUGUUAGCUAGAAUUGAAUGUUAAUGUAGCACGUUAGCAAGUCUCUGCUAGCAAGAAACUUUCAAGGGGACGUCUGAGGGUGUCGGGCCACAGAAUGCAGUGGACCAGAGUAUGGAAUUCCAUACACCGUGUUCCAGGUCCCCCAUUGCUUCUACACAUCGACACCAGCUGCAAAGUUGAUCAAACCUGCUCAGAUGAAAGUGAACCAAUGUGGCGGGGUUACGUUUGGUGGAAUUGAGAUUUUCCAGAAAGCCAAUAAUAACAAGGCAUCCACGGCUCUGGAGUUCGCCCUUGAAGCUGCAAAGAAACGCAGCUUUCCAUCCAGAGUGAGGGGAUCAAGGAGUCACCCACCAGAGGAAAUCCUAACAUGGAGGGCCUGUGGCACAACAUGUAGAAUGUCCUUCACAGCCUUGAGAAGGAAAGAGGGCUAGAUCCAGCAAACUGCUCCGAAUCCAAGCUGAUCUGGACCCAUUCACUGAGGGACGGAACAACACGAUGCAGUAACACCCCGAACAUGCAAAGAAUCUCUGUUCUGUCAACUAUGAGAUGCUGACAUCUUGGGCAUGGGUCAUGCUGGAGAACAGGUCUCUCCCCUGGACAGUGCAGAACCUGACAACUUUAAAGCUGUAAUGACCUUUAUUGCUGUAAUAAUUACCAAGUUACAGAGCCAGAUGAUGUUGCUUUAUCCUUUUAAUGGCAUUUUUUAACAAUUAGGAAUAUUGCACUGUUUGAGCAUGCUGCUGUAAUCCACACCCUACUCAAGCAAUCAAAGGUGGAAAGCUACACUUUCAACUGACUAUGCUCUCUCUCAAACUGGGCGACCUUGUUUGGUCUAAAGUCAAAGUGCACUCUGCGUCUCCCACAUGCUGUUACAUUGCAUGUGCACAGACACUCCACGGUUAUGAAGCCUUCUCCAGUGAUGCAACUUGUGAAUUUUCAUGCAGUUGCAUCACUGGAGAAGUCUUCAUAAAUGUGGAAGUGUCCAUGCACAUGUAAUGUAACAGCAUGUGGAAGAUGUGAAGUUCUCUGCCCUGACAACUUGGGACUCUGGCAGCAGGUACCUUACCUAAAAAGCUGAGCUGGGAUGGAGUGGCUGUAAAACAAGAGAGAUUGUACAGCUUUAUUUUAUUUCACUAAUAAACAACUGUCAAACAAA